rnacentral:rRNA from 1 species
UACGGAGGAUGCGAGCGUUAUCCGGAUUUAUUGGGUUUAAAGGGUGCGUAGGCGGAAUAUCAAGUCAGCGGUAAAAAUUCGGGGCUCAACCCCGUCGUGCCGUUGAAACUGAUGUUCUUGAGUGGGCGAGAAGUAUGCGGAAUGCGUGGUGUAGCGGUGAAAUGCAUAGAUAUCACGCAGAACUCCGAUUGCGAAGGCAGCCUGCCGCAGCGUUACUGACGCUGAAGCUCGAAAGCGCGGGUAUCGAACAGG